rnacentral:tRNA from 1 species
AUUUAUAUAGUUUAAAUAAAACAUUACAUUUUCAUUGUAAAAUUAAAAUAAUUUUUUUUAUAAAUU